rnacentral:lncRNA from 1 species
UGUAACUAAAUAGCACUACAGAGAAGAAAUUUUGUUAAAUCUAAAUGAAAAAUAGUGUAAAAUAAAUUUAGUGAUAAAUAACUUGAAAUAUGCUUAGGAACAAAAUCUCUGAAGAAGGAAGAUACAGAUAAUAAUCACUUACCUAUGAAAAAUGGUAGAAGUUUGAUGAAUUUCUGACGAACAAUUGCAUUGAACACAUGAACCAUCAGAAUAUGAAAAUAAGAUUCAUAAAAUGCAGAUUCACCAUUAAGUUUUACGUAGUAAACCUUUAAAAAUCUUGUGUUGAGAAUCUAAUUUAAACACAUAGGGGUCUUAGUUGAUUGGAUUGUCAACACAAGAUUUUGACAGAUUUAAUAGGUAAAAUGUAAUGAUUAAUUGGCAUUUUAUAACUAUAAUUUACAUAUUCUGAUUUCGAGUUUCUAUAAGAGCUGAAGAAAAUGAUAAAAAAAUCUGAACAAGAGAAAUUGUUUAGUCACAAAUUUGUACAAGUAGUUAGAUUCGACAAAAACAUAUAUUUAAAACAAGAAUACACAUAAUACAAUAAUGAAAGAAACUAAGUCCUCGUUUGGCCCCUUUUUUCUUUUAAUAAUUUUUUCUUCUCACUCUUAUUUUUUACCAUACAAUCUUUCAUAAAAUAAUAUUAUACAUAGACUAAAAUUUUUUCCUUCUUCUUCAACCACAUUCUACAAAAAAUAAAAAAUAAAAAAAAUUGUAUAUUAUUCUAAAAAUUAAAAUUUGAAAGAAAGGGGGCCAAAUGUGGGCUAAAUUAUACAGAAGAUGAAUAAAUCUUUUCUUAAUUUCAUUUAGUGUAAGUAAAGAAACAAAGUACGAACUAUUUGUUAUCUUACUGAAAAAACAGAGAAUGCAAAAUAAUUAAACCUUUCGGAUUAUAUUAUGGAAACCAUAAUUUAAAGUAAGAGCUAAUUUUUAUAUGAAUAAGGAUGGAUUAUUGUUAAUUCCAGAAGAUAGUAUUAUCUUAAUAUAAUAUGUGAUUGUAUUAAUGUUGUUAUGCUGCCAAUGAAAUAACUUAGAUAUAUAUCAGAUUUUGCAAAUAAAAUUCGCAGAUGAAGGAUUUCUCUCUCUCUCUCUCUUUUUCAUGAUUUUCAUAAUAUAGUUUAAUAGAACAUAUUAGAAUAUAUGCGACAUAGUUAAGGGAUUGCAAACAUAAAUAAAACUUUGAAUUAUUUUUGAAGGAAAAUAGAUUAACUAAUGUAUAUGUAUAUAAAAAUGUAAAGUAAUCUAUUGUGGAUCAGUUAUGUAAGCGUAAAAAUUAUUUCAUUUAAGUAUUCGAUAGUUUAAUGUAGAGAAUCAUUUUAUUAUCCAUUAUUUUGUAGUUCAAAUAAAUUUGUUCUAAAUUUCGUUAAAACAAUAAGCAGUUUGAAUCUCAUACAUAAAAUACAAAAAACGAAAAAAUAUUUGACGAUUGUGAAUCUAAAUGAGAACUGUAAGAUUGAACUAAAAUUCAGCAAGAUUUGUCUUAUGGAAGAAUACCUGAUGUUUGUCACAAGCAACAGAAGAAAUACUAUCUUCUCUCAUUUGGAUUCUCAUCGACAAUCAUUGUAAUAUGCAAAAUAGGAAAAUUAGUAAAACAAAUGUAGAAUUGUAAUUUAAACUCUGAAAUCAAUGAAUUGUUAAAUUUCAUAAAGUGACAGUAAACAAUUUUCAAGAACAAUUCCAUAAAGUGACAGUAAACAAUUUUCAAUUAAAGUAAUCUAAUUUUUGCAUUCUAUUUGAACAAAUUAGCUUUUGAUUUAGUAGAGUGUUGGGAAAGUGAUAGACAAAGAGGAAAUGCAAUAAAUUGAAGAUAUAAUAUUUGCAAAUAUGUUUUAAAUUGAGAAGAAAAUAAAGCAUAAUGAAAAUUAAUAAUAGUUUUUCAAAGAAUACAACAUAUUCACAACAUCAUUUUACGAUUUCAGCUUUACCUAUACUGUAGGAGUAUUACAAAUGUUUAUAUAUCCGAAAUGGAACAUGUAGUUUGGAGUAUAUAGGUUUGUAAAUAAUUGAAAUGUGCAUGAAAGUUUAAAUAGAAUGGAAUGGUAUAUUUUAACUUCAAAUGCAAUUUAAACACCAGUUCUUACAACUUUAGUCAUGCAAAUCAAAACCAUUAGGAAAUAGAAAAAUACAUAUAGAAAAGAUAAAUACAUUAAAAAAUAAUGUGACCACUGGAAAAUAACGAAAGUGAACCCACUACAUAAACAAGUAGGAAAAUACUUCUAUCAAUGGCUCCGGUGAAAAUUCAAAGGGGGGAAACAGAUAAAGUAUAGAAAAAAAUAAAUAUUACCUUGCUUCAGAGAGUCUUGAGAAUAGAAGAUUAAGAUUUCUUGAUUGUUGGCAAAAUGAUGAAGCAGAUUACCUACCACCUAACCAUAGUCAACAUGUAAGCAUCAUCAUUGACAUAUUUGAGCUAUAACACUUUACAAAGAAACUACUCUCGUGAAAGCUAUCAUCCCAAAAGUUGUAACACAUCAAGCUACUGCGCUAACAUAUCUCUUGGAAUAAAUGCAACUUUAUGUCCCAUCUUUAUAUGGAGAAAAAUGAAUGUUAACUGCAUAUUGGCUAAAUUAACUAUGUAGAUGAAAUCAUUGAUCAUAAGCAAGCAUAGAGAAGGAAGAACUCAAAAAUUUGAAAAGAAUUAAUUUACUGAAUGAAUGAAUGAAUGUCAUUAAUCUUAUUGUUACCAUAAAACACAAAACUAUAAUUCCAUACGAUAGCACUGCUUCAGGAUUUCCCUAUUAUGCCAGUUGUGAUUUCAUAUCUAACACAACUUGACACCUAGAGAACUGACUCAGACAUUGAUGCUUAACUUAAUUGAAGAUUUACCUCAUGAUGUUUUCGAGAAGCUUGGCAUACAAGCCAAAGACCAUCGGAUUUCAUGACAACAUCACAAAUCUACAGACCAUUUGAUCAUGUUCAUUGUACGUACAUUUACAAAUAGGAUUAACUGUCUAAACUACAAGUCGAUCGAAAAUAUGAUUAGAAAUUCUAUUUCAAUGAUUUUGUAGUGCGUGUACAGAUAAAUUCAUUCUAAAGAGCAAAAUUUUCACAAGCAAAGUAAUCCCCAUUAAAACUAAGUUCACAUGAAAAGUACAAAUCAUGAUUCAAGUGUGUGAAAGUUUCCUAUUUCUGCACAUAAAGCUAAAACUUUUUUCAACUUUUUAAGUACAAAAUAUAUUUCCAAAAAAAUAGGGCUCAACAUAGCCUUAAGAAUAUUUGUAGUAGAAUUGUCGUGCUUCUCCUUUUUUUUUUUUUUUUUCAAAGAACAAAAACAGAUUUAGAACCUGUUUAGUGUGGCUUAAAAAUUUGAUAAACAAUUAAGUCAAAGUGAACAGUAAUUUUAACUGCACAUUUUGCAAGACCCACAACUUUUACCAACUUUUUAGUUGCCAAUUUCAUCAACUUUUAUCAAAAUCUAAUAAAAAUCUAAAUUUUAGCUAUGCUAGAAAGGGGCUUAGUGUUUCGUAGGAAGUAUCCCCAAAAUCUUUGGUGCCCAGAGGGCCAAAAUUAAACCCAAACCCCAUAUCCAUCUUAUAAGAUUUCUGCUACACAUGAAAUCCUUUAGACUCAAUUCCCAACAAAAGAAUGGGUAAAUCUCUUGCUUUUAGUAUCUAUUUUGUAUGCAUACAGGCCCACUUUUCUGAAAUUAUGUUCAUAAUUUUCGGUUACUAUCUUGGUUAAUUCUACAAAUAUUAUCUGUGUAAUGUAUAUAUGAAGAAAAUUUUGUAUCAUAUGCAGAGUUUUGUUUGCAAUCUACUAUGAUUUUAUAUAUGUGGGAAAAAGGUAAAUGACUUCUUUCAACAAAGCUACCAUCAUUCAAGUGGAAGAAUCUUAUGAAGGCAACAAAUGCAAUGUAGUCAUGACUUUUAGAGCAUGCUUGGCUAAGCUUAAAAUAAGUAAUAGUUACUUUUAAUUAAAUUUUUGGUUUCAAAGAUGUUGGGAUAUUUUACUUUUUCUCACUUCUAAGUAACGAAAUUUCUUAUUUCAAAUCUGUCUUGUGUUGGUGUGAAAUUUAAGUAACUUCCUUAUUUCCAAGUUCAAUCAACCAAAAAAAAAAUGUUUUUUUAAACUUAUGUACUGCUUAAGCUUAGCCAAACAUGAUCUCAACCACUUUUUAACGAAAAGUUCAUGAAAGAUUGAUAGGGUUUCAUGAAGGAGGACAAAUUGAAAGGAAGAAACAUUUAAGUAAAAAAUCAUAAAUAGCUCAUUUUUCAAAAAACCAUGUUAGUAGAGGUGUUGUAAUUUUUUCUUUCCCUUUCAAACAGUGUAGCAAACAAGCAUGAUUUUAGUUUUAAAGAACAUGAACAGUAAAAAGUUACAAAAUAAAAACACAGUUAAACAAAUGUACAUAUAAAUGUUGUAUAUGCAGGCAUCUAGCAGCUCCAACCCCUUUUCUUUAGUAAAAUCACAUCAUAUAGGUUUCAACCGAAAAAACCCUAACAUAAAACCAGAGAAGCUAAAGAUGAGAAAAUGUUAAGAGCUGUACUGGCAAGAGAAAGAGGGCCAGUCGUAGAGCACUGGUACCAGCUGCUUCUAAUGAAUAUACCUUUACACUUAUUAUAGCUUGCAUUAUUCUUCUACUUAUGACUAUAUUCAAAAUUCAAUUCUGUAUGUUUUAAUUCGUCUCCUUCCAUCUUCUAUAACACGAAACCUAAAUGAUUUAUUUAUUUUUUUCCCCCACUUUUCAUCAAUAUGGGAGAUAUUAAUGGUAAAGAGUUCCAACGUAAGUAAUGAACCUCUUAACUUUCUCAUCCACCAUGCAAAAGCUUUUUAUGUGUUAUUCUUCAGCAUUUCUGUUAUAUUUAUCUCCUACAGGUUGUGACAUUUUUGUUCUUGUAAAAUAGAUUGUGUCUUCCACUGUUAGCUACUAAAGCUGUGUUAUUGUUGAGAAAUCGCUUUAUAGAUUCCCAAAUCUCAUAAUUUUCAAAUAGUAUGCCUAUUAUUUUACCAGUGAACUGAAUUUUUUCCCCUUUCUGUUGACCAGAUUGAUCAAACCGUGCCUAACACAUUAAUUGUAGCAAAUUGUGAUGUUGUGUAGCCUAAAAGCAUAUAGUAAAUGUAAGUUUAUAACUGUACAUAAUUUUUAACCUAAAUGUAUUAUUAACAUGUUCAUCUGAUUCUUCAACAGCCUCAGUUUAAAGAUCCUCUCACCGGUAGAUCUUAGACUCUUAAACACUUCCUCAAAUGAGAAUAUUCUCCUACACAGAAACAAAGAAGAAAAAUAUACACAAAACCGGUAAAAAAAGACAUAACUACUGUAAAACAAUUUACCCGAAAUCGAAAAAUUGAGCUUAAAUCCUUCGUGAAGAAUAAUCAGAAAAAUCUAAAAAGUAAACAAGAAAUCUUGAUUUAAGGUUUGUGAUUCUUGAUGCACAAGAGAAUUCAAACGAAAAAUAAAGAAAUUAAAAGACGAUGUAUACAAAUAUGAAAAUAAGCCCAACACUAUAAACUCCCAACCACCAACAUCGAACCAAAAAAUCUGAUAUCUAUGGCCAAAAAAAUCAACUGUAAUACCCCAAAAAAAUAAUGAAUUCUAACCCAACUCAGAUAAUAAAGAUAGAGGCAUCUAUUUCACCAAUUAUAACCCUAAACUAAACUAAACAUGAAGUUUUCUGAAUUUUUGGGAAACUUUCACAAAAAUUGAAACAAACUUAAAAGGGAAUGAAUCUAAGCACCAAGAAUAUGGAGCUGGAAAAAAUGAGACAAAAAUGCAAAGAGAAAAAGUAUGAGAAGAAUUUGCUUGAGGUCAAAACUCUUCAAUUUCCUAUAGAAAUGUCCCCCGUUUGUUGUAGAUUUUCACCAAAGGUCCAAAAAAAAAAACAAAAAUCGAGCGCUUAACUAUAUAGAUCUAAAGAAAUUGGAAGAAGAAUACACAAUGACAGUAAAACGGGGUGAGGAUUCUAAUUGCAAGUGUAAAGAUCAAUUUAGGGGAAAUUAUUUGACACCAAUUUCUAUGAGAAUUGAGAGACUGAAGAGGAAAUUAGGGUUAAGGAAAUGGGUUUGGAAAGAAAAUGGGUGGUUUUGUCAUUUUUUACUAAGAAAGUAUCUAGAUAAUGAACAAUGCACACCGAUUACGUGUUACACAGAGGUGCCAGAAAUUAACAGUAAUG